GAUGAAGAACGUAGCGAAAUGCGAUAAGUAAUGUGAAUUGCAGAAUUCAGUGAAUCAUCGAAUCUUUGAACGCAUAUUGCGCUCUCUGGUAUUCCGGAGAGCAUGCUUGUUUGAGUAUCAGUAAACACCUCAACUUCCAUAUCUUUUUUGAAAUGGGAGUUGGACUUGAGUGAUCCCAACGCUUUUCCUCACCGAAAAGUGGCGGGUUACUUGAAAUGCAGGUGCAGCUGGACUUUUCUCUGAGCUAUAAGCAUAUCUAUUUAGUCUGCCUAAAAAACAGAUUAUUACCUUUGCUGCAGCUAACAUAAAGGAGAUUAGUUCUUGUGCUGACUGAUGCAGGAUUCACAAAGACAGCUUCGGCCGACUUUGUAAACUCGAUCUCAAAUCAAGUAAGACUACCCGCUGAACUUAAGCAUAUCAAUAAGCGGAGGA
rnacentral:misc_RNA from 1 species